GAUGAAGAACGCAGCGAAAUGCGAUAAGUAAUGUGAAUUGCAGAAUUCAGUGAAUCAUCGAAUCUUUGAACGCACCUUGCGCCCUUUGGCCAUUCCGAAGGGCAUGCCUGUUUGAGUAUCAUUAACACCUCAACUCUCAUGGCUCGCCAUGAUGAGCUUGGACUUUGGGGGUCUUGCUGGCCUGUGGUCGGCUCCUCUCAAAUGGAUCAGCUUGCCAGUGUUUGGUGGCAUCACAGGUGUGAUAACUAUCUGCGCUUGUGGUUUUCCAUCAGAUAACCUUCAGUGAUGGAGGUUCGCUGGAGCUCAUAAACGUCUCCCCUAAGCGGGGACAGCCCUUUGAAUGUUUGAUCUCAAAUCAGGUAGGACUACCCGCUGAACUUAAGCAUAUCAAUAAGCGGAGGA
rnacentral:misc_RNA from 1 species